AUUGGGAUUGUACCAUAUAGCCCUCAGGUCACGGUUUCUUUGGUGGCAAAGGAGUGGUGGAAACCUUGCCUGCAAAUAGUUUUCUGCCAUAUUUACCAAGGUUUCAAGUAGAGAACUUGGAAAAAAACAAGACCUUAUAUUUGAAAAUCGAGAAGUCGGCUGAGAAGCACGGAUGUACCCCUGCACAAUUAGUACUCGCUUGGGCUCUU